rnacentral:lncRNA from 1 species
UAUGUGGCUUUACUUUGCAUUACAUGCUUAGGGGUAAUAAUUGGUGUAUGAUGAAGCUCCAAUCAAUUUUCUCCAUCCACAACAUUGAUUGCUUAUUUCAACACAGGAGAUGUCAGUGGUUGGUGAUGCUAUGUCAAAUGAAAUGUUUGCUAGUUGUUGUUCGGUUGUUAUCUCAUUGCCAGCUGGAACAGAGGCCUUCACUUAUUGCUGUUUUCUAU